AGGACCCUGCAAGGGGCAGGCUGGAGGCAGGCGUCUCAGGUGAGCGCACUGGGGGAAUGGACACCCCAUGCGAGAGAGGAGAGUAAGCGGAGCUCCAGGAGGGGAGAGCGAGAGAGGCAACAGCUGGAGAGAGCGCGCGGACUCCUACAAAACACCGGGAACUUCCACCUAACAUCUGCAGGCGACAGGAAGCAUUGGGCAACAUUUUAUUACAAUUAAAUGAACAGGCUUAGCUCUGCUACUUCUUUGAAAAGAAUCAUGACCAAAAAGACGCAAUUUUAGCAAACAUAACUGGAAGAUGAUAAAGAAAAUCUGUCUAUUUCCAUAUGAGAACACAACUUGAAAUCUUAUGUACCUGCCAUGACUCCUCUCCAAGAGGAGCAUCUCCUCAGAGGAGGGGAGUUUUCUCCUCUCACAGGAAAUCCACAGCGUGUUAGACACAGCCAGACAGACAGAAGGAGGGUAGAUAUCAACAAGUAAAAGGACAGAAGAUGACUUUGGCAGUUAUGCAACAAUUACAGAAAAAGAAUUUAAAAGAAACUAUUUUUUUCCACUUGAAGUCCAGAGUACACGUUAUUACAAACCAUCAUCUGGAGUUGGACUAUGACAUUCACUGCAGUCUUCAGAAAAUGGAAAGUCAGUCAUACAGGCUUUAUUCAAGGAGAGCCAUAUCAAAUAUUUUAAGAAAUGACUACAUCAGUGCUGGGCAAUGUGAUAGAUCUUAAUUUCUUCUACAGAUCUAGGACAAACUUAUUGUCAUUGUUUUAAAAUACCAGACUCAUAGGUGAAAAACAAAGAUUCUUGUCAUGCGCAUAUUAAAUAGAUCUAUAGUAAACUGUUGCUGUAUUUGUAUCUUCGGUUUCACUUCAACAUAACAAAAGUAUUCAGUGUCCUCGAGUUUGAGUUAGAAAUAUUAAAACUUGCACGCAGGAAAUGGUUAUUAGUAUCCUGAAACAGCCAUACUCGAUUCCAAACCAAGGAAGAGGUGAAAGUGCUGUGGUGUGAACAAA
ensembl:lncRNA